UAUCAUCAUAGUGACUGGUUCCUGAAACAUGGCCAGUUAAUUAAAAGGUCUUGUUGGAGCACCCCAACAACAUUGUAUAUUUCCUACAACAUAAAUCCUUGGAGGAAACAUUAGUUCAUCAUCUGUCCAACAAAUGAGUGGGAGAACCUUGCUCUUGAUAUUGUUCUUAUGGGCUGUCCUUACAGUCGUAACCCCUAUCCUUGUCCGAUUGUCUGCUUCUGCCAGAGCAAAUGGCGAAUUUUUCGUCAUCACACACACCCGUGAGCUAAACGAGAGGAUGAAGGCCGGGAAAGUGAUGGGGUUGUUGGCAAGGAGGGCGCUUGUUGCAGCAGCACUACGAAAGAAAGACUCAACUCCAUCACUGACACCAGAAAUUGUGCCAUCACAGACAAUACUCCUCCUGCCUUAAAAUCGCAAUUGUGAAGUUGAAAAGACAUUAUUCUUGACGUGUGCAUGAGAUCGUGAAGUGUGAGGACUCCAUUUUCUAGUUGCAAGAAUUAGUUGAGUUAUUACUCAGUUAAUUAGACAAACUUAAGACAUGGUUAUGCUUACAUUAUGAGUAGAGUUCAAUUGGCACUAUGAUUUUGUACAGCGUAUAUAUCUGCAGAAAGGUACACAGCAAAAGUUUCAUUAAUUAACGUACAUAUGAAAUUGAGAAGUUCUUUUUGUUGUU